rnacentral:lncRNA from 1 species
GUCUGCCAUUUAGUAAUCUGGCCAACCAUAGCCUGAGAUUUUUCUGCCCAUAAUUCACUGAGUGGACAUAUGAAGAAAAUCCAGAAUAAGAUGGUUCCAGGCCAGAAAAAUCUAGAUGGUCAUGCAUGAAUAGCUGGACUACAAAAGAAGCACUGUAGGUUGACGUCUACUCUGUCUCCUGUUUUGUUCACACAACUGGUUCUCUGGUCAUUCUGCUGCUGUGCCUACAACUUCAGUAUGCUGGACCUUCUCUAAGCUCAGCAACCUUCUAGGAGCAACCUUAAACAACAGACAAGGGAGUGGUAAUAUACAGGUGCUUUCUUAUUCUCUGGGUGAAAAAACUUUGAGACACACAUAUUGCACUGCUUCAAGAGUUCUCAGAGGGGUUAAGACUUGUGCACCUUAUGGUUCCUGGCUUAACAACCAUCUUCCCUUGACUGCCUGCUCUGACUUAGGUCUUCCUGCACUUCCAUACCAAUAUGUUGUAGAAUCAUUUUGUAAGUGAAACUCCUAUGUCAAAGUUGGUUUUUGGAAUAAAACUAAACAAAGUAUAAUAUACA